GACGAACGCUGGCGGCGUGCCUAACACAUGCAAGUCGAACGGACGAGGGGAGCUUGCUCCCUGAGUUAGUGGCGAACGGGUGAGUAACGCGUGAGGAACCUGCCUUCCAGUGGGGGACAACAGUUGGAAACGACUGCUAAUACCGCAUAACAUAUUCGAAGGGCAUCCUUUGGAUAUCAAAGCUUUAUGUGCUGGAAGAUGGCCUCGCGUCUGAUUAGCUAGUUGGUGGGGUAACGGCCCACCAAGGCGACGAUCAGUAGCCGGUCUGAGAGGAUGAACGGCCACAUUGGGACUGAGAUACGGCCCAGACUCCUACGGGAGGCAGCAGUGGGGAAUAUUGGGCAAUGGGGGGAAACCCUGACCCAGCAACGCCGCGUGAAGGAAGAAGGCUUUCGGGUUGUAAACUUCUUUUAGCAGGGACGAAGGACGUGACGGUACCUGCAGAAAAAGCAACGGCUAACUACGUG
rnacentral:rRNA from 1 species